AGCACGAGAAAGCUGGUUAUCUGAGCUUUCUUUUACAAUUUUUUGGGUGUCAAAAUAUGAAAAAUUUAAGAAACCAGAGAAGAAAUUAAAAAAAUUGUACCAACUAGCCCCACCCUCCCCUACUAGCGACUCUCAGGGCUUAUUGCAUUACCUGUUAUUUUAUACGAAAGAUUACUGAAAUAUACUAAUUUUUCAGAAAUGAUCAAAAUCAAUAUAGGUUUAUUUUAGUUUUUACAAUAAUGCAUCUUUGACCUUCUGUCUGUGUAGAACAAUGACCAUUAUAGGCUGCUUGUUUGUUGUUAUGUUGUUGUUGUCUACUUCUAUUCUUUUAUUGCAUUUUACUACUUUAAAAAGUUGAAACUCUAUCAGCCAAUUGAUUUUCAAGACAACGUUUCAUGAAAAAACGUAUGUAGAAAAAUUUACACAUAAGAAAAAGGAAAAAAAAAUGCCCGACUUAUUUCUACAAUAUGUAAUUUUUCACAAAAUUCAGUACUACUCGAUGCCUCUUCAGAUUUUUAUUGGAGUUGGCGGCCACUUUAGCAAUGUAAAUCUAUGUGCGUAAAGCUGUGUGUUAUACGUUGUUACCUGUGUCUACCUUGUCCUAUAAUUUCCAUUGCACGUCAUCAACGUAACGACAGCUGAGCUCCUUCUUAUAUAAUCCACUUCUAAAUUAUCCUGACAAUGGCCCCAGUCUUCAUCAAUGUUUACCAUCUAACGUAGUUCAUGCAAAUUUGGCAUUCGUUUGAAUGACAGCUUUAAAAAUAAUCUUUUUAUGCUCCCUAUCUAUGAACAAUGACACGUGGAUAAAAAAAGUCUUUUCCAUGUCUAUCCUUAAACCCUCAUAGAGGUGCCAACCUGAGCAAAAAAAAUGUGUAAAACGAGUAAAAGUCUAAGACAUUAGAAAUAGAACGAUUGUUUCUACUCUCUUUAAGGAGCUGAAUUGUAGAAAAUUUUUCCGUCGCCCUUUAGGUCUUUCUUGAGAAACAUUUAAAACACAAUGUUUCAGCGAGAUUGGCAACGCCACUCGUCAUGAGAGCACUUGAUGCAAAAUAUUCUGGAAAUUUCAAAUUGAGGUUUCAGGGUUGCUAUAACGUCAGAAGGCUACAAUGUCUACUAUCCAAGAAAGUUUCAAAGAAAAGCAAUAUUUUGUGAAUUUUUGGUGAUUUUCUUGAUAUCACCAAUCAAGUGGAGAAAACAGUAAUGUUUCAUAACUUUUACAUUACUGUCUUGCCUUAGAAACUGUAAUCAUAUGCAAUAGCCCAAACAUCCAUUAUCACACAAAAAAACUGAAGCAUGAAAGAAGAUCACACGAAUUCUAGACUGAUGUGGGUGCCAAAAAUAACAAAAAAAAAAAGCCUGCGGUCAAUCAACCUAAUGAAUG